rnacentral:tRNA from 1 species
GCCGAAUUAGCUCAAGGGUAGAGCAACUGACUCACGAUCAGUGGUUGUGGGUUCGAGUCCCAUAUUCAGCACCA